CGAGAGCGGAGUUUACGCUAUUCAAGACAUACGACAAAUCUCUCUUAUAAAGUGGGUAUUAUUUUAUUAUUAUUUUUUUAAAAUUUUUUUAUAGAUCGUACACUAAGAAAGAUUGUGAGUUAAAUUUAGAUCUGGUAUAGCGAAGGAAUGGUCAUUACCAACUAAACCAAUCACCGCAUAUUUUCUUCUGCCGAACGAUAUUUUACGAGGGUAAACGCACCUGACACAGUUUUAGUCUUUCAAUUGCUUGAUGGAAUGGAAGUUAGUCCGCCGAACCAUUUCUCUCCCUCACAAAAUUCAAGUCGGUUAACAUUAUUGAUGAUUUGACCGGUCAUUUCACCACCACCUUCCCCUCCGUCAAUAAGCGACAAGAGUAGCCCGACACCGACGGCGCCAGGGAUGUGUGCGCACUGUGCAGGUGCUGAGUCUGCUGAUAGAGAGGGUGACCGGAGUGGGUGUAGGGUGCUGAGUCUGCUGAUACAGAAGUGUGCAGUUACAUGUACUUUAGGAUCAAUUUGAGGGCAAAAGAUGUGAAAACAUGCCCUUUUUGGAGCUAAUCCUUAUUCAAACAUGGAAAGAAGUUUAGUGGCCUGUCUUGAAGCCCAAAUAAAGAAUCCAAGACAAAUUUGGUUUGUUAAAAGACCAGGAGCAGAAUGGGAAAAGAAUUGGAAUAUCUAGCUUGAUUUGGAGGAGCCAAAUAAGGAAAAACGUUCAAAACCUUGGCUUAAUGGUUGGGAUCACCUUGCAAUCAGCUACAGCCCCAUUUAACCUAUAAAUAUUAGGGUUUCAAAUUACUUUUUCACAAGCCCCCCUUGGGGGUUGCCCAGAGGCCUCUCUCUUCUCUUUCUUUAGCCUUUCUACGAGAAACAAAACCCUAUUUCCCUUCACCAUCUGCUGCCACCGAAGAAACCACGCAGCCAUGCUGUUCUUGAAGGAUUUCAACAUCAGAAUUGCUUCAAGUGGGUUUCUUCUAUGAACUUUAGUUUCACUCAUGUUGUUCUUGAUAUUUAUAUUUUCUGUAAUCAUGUUGUGUAAUUAUGUUCAUAGCUAGGGAUUUCAAUGUAGCCUUACAAAACUAUUCUACGUUAUUAAGUUAAAGUAUUCGAUUCAACAAUCUGUGUUCUUGUUUCAUUCACUGAUUUUAUAGUUUAAUUUGUUUGUUAAUCUUAAUGUUUGAUCACCAUUAGGGCUGCUUAU